GACACCUAAAUGAAGACCUCUGUCCAUCAGAACGAGUGGCCAUUAUGAAGGAGGCCCCUUAGGCGGUUCAGAUAGAUAUGAGGAAUGACGCCCGGCUAAAAUGGGAUCCCUUCGCUGCAGGAGGCAAAUAUGCCCGCUGUCGGGCUAAUUUGCUGCACAUGAACAAUGAAUCCGUAAGGAAAUGUGUGUACAUUGUGGCGGCACAGAGCAGCCACAUUCUGCUGCGUUUCCAAAUAUAAAUAAACUUUGCAUGGGGGAGAUCAUGUGACCUGACAACAGCGACGCGACAGGUCUCAUAAUGGCCCGGCACCGCCACAUCAUCACCAAUGCCCAUUCCAUUUCCAUUUCACUUGGGCAGCCUGCCAAAAACCAAUGAACCUGUCUACCUCUCUGGUUGGGUAGAGAUCCUUGAACACCUGGGCAAGGACAAGUGGCCAGGGCUUGCGUGCGCCAAGGUUUGUCUCCGAUUAAUAUUAAUGACAAAUCAAUGGUGCACAAUUAGAGGAAGUGCACCAGCACAAGAUCCCAAAGACUCGACGCCAUGUGAGCCGAGCUGUCCGCCCAAGCAGCGAACAUGAGACAAAAAUAACAGCAAAGUGUGGUCUCCACUCAUAGCCAUCAUCAUCAUCAUCGCCAUCAUCAUGGUGAUCCAACGAAUUUGCUGAUGCUGCAGCACCGUUGUCGCCAAGCGGUUGAGUUUCUGCCGCAUGGCAACUAUUUUCGCCGAGGAGUCACCAGAGUGCAUUGAACCCACUUCUCGCCAUGGGAGAUGAGGAAAAAUGAAAUUUAAAAAUACAUAUUUUUCGGAAAUAAAUGAAGAAUGUUGUAACAAAAUGACCGAAAUAA